rnacentral:rRNA from 1 species
CCGCUAGAGUUUGAUNAUGGCUCAGGAUGAACGCUAGCGGGAGGCCUAACACAUGCAAGCCGAGCGGUAGAGAUCUUUCGGGAUCUUGAGAGCGGCGUACGGGUGCGGAACACGUGUGCAACCUGCCUUUAUCUGGGGGAUAGCCUUUCGAAAGGAAGAUUAAUACCCCAUAAUAUUUUGAAUGGCAUCAUUUGAAAUUGAAAACUCCGGUGGAUAGAGAUGGGCACGCGCAAGAUUAGAUAGUUGGUGAGGUAACGGCUCACCAAGUCUGCGAUCUUUAGGGGGCCUGAGAGGGUGAUCCCCCACACUGGUACUGAGACACGGACCAGACUCCUACGGGAGGCAGCAGUGAGGAAUAUUGGACAAUGGGUGAGAGCCUGAUCCAGCCAUCCCGCGUGAAGGACGACGGCCCUAUGGGUUGUAAACUUCUUUUGUAUAGGGAUAAACCCUUUCCACGUGUGGGAAGCUGAAGGUACUAUACGAAUAAGCACCGGCUAACUCCGUGCCAGCA